rnacentral:rRNA from 1 species
GACGAAGGUGGCGAGCGUUGUUCGGAAUCACUGGGCAUAAAGCGCACGUAGGCGGCGACGUAAGUUGGGUGUGAAAUCCCUCGGCCCAACCGAGGAACUGCGCCCAGUACUGCGUUGCUUGAGGAUCCAAGGGGUGCAUGGAAUUCCCGGUGGAGCGGUGAAAUGCGUUGAUAUCGGGAGGAACUCCGGCGGCGAAAGCGGUGCACUGGUGGAUUCUGACGCUGAGGUGCGAAAGCCAGGGGAGCAAACGGG